rnacentral:rRNA from 1 species
UACGGAGGGUGCAAACGUUGCUCGGAAUCAUUGGGCGUAAAGCGUGUGUAGGUGGCCUGUUAAGUCGGGUGUGAAAGCCCUGGGCUCAACCCAGGAAGUGCAUUCGAAACUGGCAGGCUUGAGUACGGGAGAGGGUCGCGGAAUUCCCGGUGUAGAGGUGAAAUUCGUAGAUAUCGGGAGGAACACCAGUGGCGAAGGCGGCGACCUGGACCGAUACUGACGCUGAGACACGAAAGCGUGGGGAGCAAACAGG